GAACGCUGGCGGCGUGCCUAAUACAUGCAAGUCGAGCGAGCUUGCCUAGAUGAAUUUGGUGCUUGCACCAAAUGAAACUAGAUACAAGCGAGCGGCGGACGGGUGAGUAACACGUGGGUAACCUGCCCAAGAGACUGGGAUAACACCUGGAAACAGAUGCUAAUACCGGAUAACAACACUAGACGCAUGUCUAGAGUUUAAAAGAUGGUUCUGCUAUCACUCUUGGAUGGACCUGCGGUGCAUUAGCUAGUUGGUAAGGUAACGGCUUACCAAGGCAAUGAUGCAUAGCCGAGUUGAGAGACUGAUCGGCCACAUUGGGACUGAGACACGGCCCAAACUCCUACGGGAGGCAGCAGUAGGGAAUCUUCCACAAUGGACGCAAGUCUGAUGGAGCAACGCCGCGUGAGUGAAGAAGGGUUUCGGCUCGUAAAGCUCUGUUGGUAGUGAAGAAAGAUAGAGGUAGUAACUGGCCUUUAUUUGACGGUAAUUACUUAGAAAGUCACGGCUAACU
rnacentral:rRNA from 1 species